rnacentral:piRNA from 1 species
GUCGGGAAGGCUCUGGCAGGCGCU